rnacentral:rRNA from 1 species
CCACGGGCGGCUGCAGUGAGGAAUAUUGGUCAAUGGACGAAAGUCUGAACCAGCCAAGUAGCGUGCAGGAUGACGGCCCUCCGGGUUGUAAACUGCUUUAGUUCGGGAAUAACGACGGGGACGUGUCCCUGGAACGAAUGUACCGAAAGAAUAAGGACCGGCUAAUUCCGUGCCAGCAGCCGCGGUAAUACGGAAGGUCCAGGCGUUAUCCGGAUUUAUUGGGUUUAAAGGGAGCGUAGGCGGACUGUUAAGUCAGCGGUUAAAGAGUGUGGCUCAACCAUACGAUGCCGUUGAAACUGGUGGUCUUGAGUGCACACAGGGAUGCUGGAACUCGUGGUGUAGCGGUGAAAUGCUUAGAUAUCACGAUGAACUCCGAUCGCGAAGGCAGGUGUCCGGGGUGUAACUGACGCUGAGGCUCGAAAGUGUGGGUAUCAAACAGGAUUAGAUACCUUUGUAGUC